CCUCUUGAAAAUAAGAUAUUUUAAUAUAUAAUCUAUGUUGUCGGGCAACCGGCUACGGCACUAGAGGCUGUAUGAAAUAGGCUAUUUGGACCUGGGGGCAGUACCCAGCACCUCCACCAAUCUUUCUUUCAACGGGGGUGAAACAGGGUAGACAGGUAGCAGUAAAGAUAUGUAUGCUGUGCCCGGUGAGAUACCACCGUUAUCGGUUCAAAUCAAAUGAAUGCUAACGAUAACAACGUAGCACCUGUUGCAAUCGCUGCUUAAGGCGAGCGUAACAAACGCAAAUUCUUGUAACUAUGGUUAGUUUCAAGUGGGGAAUGAGCCGCCCAGCAACAGAACGGCUCGCUU
rfam:Azospirillum sp. CAG:239 genomic scaffold, scf95